UCUUCUCUUUCAUCCUUAUAAAUAGGACCGGAGGGAGUACUCUAUCUUUCUCUCUCAUUUAAAUUUUUCAAUUUUCUGAUCACUUUCUUUCUCUUACGUGGGCCCCACCCCAAUCAGAAAUCAAUUCACUCUCUCACUCACUUCUUCUCCUUUCUUCUGGUGAAGCAACAAAAAAAUACCACCACCAUCACCAUACUUCUUCUUCUCCCAUGGAAGCCGCCACCACCGCGAGCCUUCUCCUCUCCUCACGCGAGCCAGAGCACCACCACCUUCUCCCUCACGAACCAGCACCAUCAAGCCAUCAUCUUCCUCUUUUCCUUGCCUCUGGUUCAGAUACGAGCACACCACCAACGCCCAACACCAUGAACGACGCCGCCACAGCCACCAUGGAGGCGAAAACCAGAGAGAAAAUGAAACCCUAGCCGCCACCUUCAAAGUCCGAUCUCCGGCGAACCACUGAGUUUUUGGAGAAACCAACCACACCAUGGAACUCCCCUCGACGUGCGCUGCAAAACCCCUAAAGAAAUUUCUGAUUCCGACAACCUUCGCCGGAAACCGCCGCCGGCCACCGUGACCACCGUCUUCUCCGGCCAACCUUCGCCGGAGAUGUCACUGAACUCAGAACCAGGAAGCUCUCCGCCUCCUCUUGCUGAAUUGAUUAUCAAUUUUGGUCCUUGUUUGAACUGUGCCAGUGUUGUUCAACAUUCAUGGUCCUCAGAGGAAGGCAAAAGCUGCUGUUAGAGAAGAGGAGGAAGCAAAUUUAGAACCUUAGCCAUGAGGCUUAAGGUAGAAAACGAAAUAUUUUUCUGUUUUGGGUAUUGUUUUAAUUCUUGUAGGGGCUGAAAAUGUUUUUGAAAAUGUAAGGGUAUUUGAGAUGGUUAGAUUACCUCUGGAUGAGCAUGGGUUCGAUAUUAGAUUAGGAGAAAUUUAUGCUGCUGUUGUCUUGUGAUUGUAGUAGCCGCUGUUCUGCCAAAACUCGUGUGUUUCGGUUCAGAUUUUGGAACUGUGUUCUUCAUAAAAAUUGUAGCAUUUUCUGUUAGCAAACUUUUGCCACUGGUUUCAUGUAAUUGCGAUUUCUCUAGCUCAAGUUAUACGCAUUUUAGUGAGCA